rnacentral:lncRNA from 1 species
GCUGCAUAGUGGCUGGGAUGUGCUGAGGAGGACUUCCCAGAAAGGUUUGAAUCGGACUUCCAGACUGGUCUAUGUGUCCUUUGCUGCAUCGGAAGGACGUGGUCUGCAAACCGUUCAAUGUUGGGCUUUGCCGAGGGGCUUUCUCUUAUCUCCCACUCUCCUUCCUCAGAACAGAAUUCAGCUGGUUUCAAUGUGGGGAUUAACGUAACCCAAGUGAGCAAUCUACUCUUCUGCAUGGAGAAUACUCUCAGGUGCGUUGUUUAGACGUGUUGUCUCCAGAUAGAGCUGUUCCACCCAGAUGGGAGCAAGGAUCGCCACACAAGGGAAAAUACAGACCUCCCAGUCGCCCCCUGUGGGUGGAGCUAUAGACUCAGUAAACACUGGCCUGGCAGAGGAGACUUCUCGGUGGAGCUGCCUCCAGGUUGUGCUGGAGACUUGGGAGUACAGCCUUUCUGAGUGCUCACCUAUGCCAACGGGACGGCAGGGGCUUUAUGGUUAUGCAGCGGUUCAUGUUAUGUAGCGGCCUGUGAGUAGCCUCCCAUCCAUGCUCCUGUCGCUGACCCCAAUAAAUUCGUCGGUUCAGCUCGAUUUGGGCAGACUGUUUCUUUGGUGGCCCAUUGUCC